GAGGGUAGAGCUCAGAGGCAGAGUGCAUGCUUAGCAUGCCCAAGGUCCUGGGUUCAAUCCUCAGUACCUCCA
rnacentral:tRNA from 1 species